GACGAACGCUGGCGGCGUGCUUAACACAUGCAAGUCGAACGAUGAAGCUAGAGCUUGCUCUGGUGGAUUAGUGGCGAACGGGUGAGUAACACGUGAUUAACCUGCCCCGAACUCUGGGAUAACUGCUGGAAACGGACGCUAAUACCGGAUAUGACCAAUGAAGGCAUCUUCUGUUGGUGGAAAGAAUUUCGGUUCGGGAUGUACUCGCGGCCUAUCAGCUUGUUGGUGAGGUAACGGCUCACCAAGGCGACGACGGGUAGCCGGCCUGAGGGGGUGAUCGGCCACACUGGGAAUGAGACACGGCCCAGAGUCGUACGGGGGGCAGGAGUGGUGAAGAUUGCACAAUGGGCGCAAGGCUGAUGCAGGAGCGCCGCGUGGGGGACGACGGCCUUCGUGUUGUAAACCUCUUUUAGUAGGGAAGAAGCGAAAGUGACGGUACCUGCAGAAAAAGCACCGGCUAACUACGUGCCAGCAGCCGCCGUAA
rnacentral:rRNA from 1 species